GUGCCUAAAGUCGGGGAGAGAAAAGGAGACAGUAUUUAAGGAAUUUAAGAUCUUGAAGUGGAAAAGGCCUAGAAGAGCCAUAACUGCUGAGUCUUGGAAAGAAAAUGAAACAGAGUGUCUGCAUGCAGUUUCCUUAAGGUGUAUGCAACAGCGUUAUCGCAACAGGCUAACGAAAACAGACAAAAUUCAACUGGAAAAGCAUGUUUUGGCACCUUCCUCCCAGAAGAAAAACUUAAUGACUUUCGUGAUGAACAAAUUGGACAGUUGCAGGAGCUGAUGCAAGAAGCCACAAAACCCAACAGGCAAUUUAGUAUUUCUGAGUCUACGAAACCAAAAUUUUAGUCUAUACAACAAAGCUUAAUAAGACAUGCAAAAAUUUAGAACCCCUACUUUGUCAUUGGUUUUUGAAAUAUAUUUAAGCUUUGAAAACACCUGUUAUUAAUGAAAUACUCUUUUAUUUUGGAUAUUAUGAUUGCAGUAUAUGGAUCAAGAUCACUAGUGACAAUUGAAAAAACUAUUGGAAUAAUAGCACUUGUAUGAAAUUCAGUUUUGGAACUAAACAGCAAAUAAUGUAUCUAAAAUGGACAAAUUUCUAGAAUUUUGCUGAAAACGUUUUAAAAUGCUAUUCUCAUCCAGCCAUAUUAGUCUUCUGGCUUUUCUUUAGCUUCAUCAAAUAAGCAUGUUGUGAUAAUGAUAGAUGUACAAUUCCAACAAGGUUAUUAUUUUUUAAAUACAUUGUCAUUCUGAACAUUUUAUCAUUUCUACUUUAAUAAUACGUACAUGAUUUUUCU
rnacentral:sRNA from 1 species